UACGAAGGGGGCUAGCGUUGUUCGGAUUUACUGGGCGUAAAGCGCACGUAGGCGGAUUCUUAAGUCAGGGGUGAAAUCCCGAGGCUCAACCUCGGAACUGCCUUUGAUACUGGGGAUCUCGAGUUCGGGAGAGGUGAGUGGAACUGCGAGUGUAGAGGUGAAAUUCGUAGAUAUUCGCAAGAACACCAGUGGCGAAGGCGGCUCACUGGCCCGAUACUGACGCUGAUGCACGAAAGCGUGGGAGCAAACAGG
rnacentral:rRNA from 1 species